GAUGAACGCUGGCGGCGUGCCUAAUACAUGCAAGUCGAGCGAACAGACGAGGAGCUUGCUCCUCUGACGUUAGCGGCGGACGGGUGAGUAACACGUGGAUAACCUACCUAUAAGACUGGGAUAACUUCGGGAAACCGGAGCUAAUACCGGAUAAUAUAUUGAACCGCAUGGUUCAAUAGUGAAAGACGGUUUUGCUGUCACUUAUAGAUGGAUCCGCGCCGCAUUAGCUAGUUGGUAAGGUAACGGCUUACCAAGGCAACGAUGCGUAGCCGACCUGAGAGGGUGAUCGACCACACUGGAACUGAGACACGGUCCAGACUCCUACGGGAGGCAGCAGUAGGGAAUCUUCCGCAAUGGGCGAAAGCCUGACGUAGCAACGCCGCGUGAGUGAUGAAGGUCUUCGGAUCGUAAAACUCUGUUAUUAGGGAAGAACAAAUGUGUAAGUAACUAUGCACGUCUUGACGGUACCUAAUCAGAAAGCCACGGCUAACUACGUG
rnacentral:rRNA from 1 species